rnacentral:rRNA from 1 species
CGGACGGGUGAGUAAUGUCUGGGAAACUGCCUGAUGGAGGGGGAUAACUACUGGAAACGGUAGCUAAUACCGCAUAACGUCGCAAGACCAAAGAGGGGGACCUUCGGGCCUCUUGCCAUCGGAUGUGCCCAGAUGGGAUUAGCUAGUAGGUGGGGUAACGGCUCACCUAAGCGACGAUCCCUAGCUGGUCUGAGAGGAUGACCAGCCACACUGGAAACUGAGACACGGUCCAGACUCCUACGGGAGGCAGCAGUGGGGAAUAUUGCACAAUGGGCGCAAGCCUGAUGCAGCCAUGCCGCGUGUAUGAAGAAGGCCUUCGGGUUGUAAAGUACUUUCAGCGGGGAGGAAGGGAGUAAAGUUAAUACCCUUGCUCAUUGACGUUACCCGCAGAAGAAGCACCGGCUAACUCCGUGCCAGCAGCCGCGGUAAUACGGAGGGUGCAAGCGUUAAUCGGAAUUACUGGGCGUAAAGCGCACGCAGGCGGUUUGUUAAGUCAGAUGUGAAUCCCCGGGCUCAACUUGGGAACUGCAUCUGAUACUGGCAAGCUUGAGUCUCGUAGAGGGGGGUAGAAUUCCAGGU